GAGCAUCGGUGACCUGCAGGUUCAGCCAGCCAAGCCCAUGGAGCUCAGAAAUGUCCUCUGCUUGCCUUGAUGACCUGUCCAACAGCCAGAACAGCUUCUCUUCAGUAAACAAAUGCUUUCACAUAACAGGUGCCCUGCCACUCACUGAUGCCCUGCUUGCUCCUGCCUGGACAACUCCUCAUAGCCAGCUCCAGCGGGAAAAGGAGCAGAAGAUUCUUGAGAAACCAGAAAUACAGAUGAAUGUUGAAUAUUGCAACAUAAACUCAGGUCUUGGGGUUGGUUUUUUUUGUCAAUUGCUUCCUUUCUGUAAGAUGGGUAUCUCCAUUCUGAAUUGUUUGUGUCUAUCAUUCUUCAAAGUAAAUCCCAUUUACUUUUGUCAAUCACUCUCUGUAGGCUCACUGCCUGACUGCCACCCACCUCAUGGCACACCUUGGCAGCCCGACACUCCUUGGAUACAUUGCACAAUUGUCAUUGGCAUUCAGAACUCCUGCUCUAAUCCCCUUUUCUCCAUACCUCACUUUCCUCAGGCCUCUGUGUCUUCUGCCUUCUGCUACACAGCAUGUGUGGACUUGCUGGCCCGCACACAUCCUGCACUGCACUCCGCUCCCCACACCAUCCCAGCCUUUGGACGGCUGCUCUUGGUUUCUCUAGCUCCUGCCUGCUUGUUUCUCAGUCCUCUUCCUGGGGCUCCCCGAUCACCCCAUGAUCCAUCCAUCCAUCCAUCCAUCCAUCCAUCCAUCCAUCCGUCCAUCCGUCCAUCCGUCCAUCUGUCCAUCCGUCCCUCCGUCCAUCCGUCCAUCCGUCCAUCCGUCCAUCUGUCCCUCCGUCCCUCCGUCCCUCCGUCCCUCCGUCCCUCCAUGCCUCCAUGCCUCCAUCCCUCCCGUGCCAGUGUCCUGCUCUCCCUGCCACCCUGCACAAAGCCAUGGGUGUCCUUAUCUGCAGCUGCAGUUUCCUCCACAGACCCUUCCUACCCUGAUGCCACCCAGCCCCCAGAUCCCCUUGGCGUUUGGCACUCAGCUGCAGCUCGGGUUUCUGCAUAUUUCCCAUCACGGAAUUAAGCUCUUCAGAGGCAACACAUGCCAAUUUUUUUUCUCACUAACAGAGGGCUCCCUCUGUAUGUUUGAUCCUCAUCAGAUAGGACUAUAAAUACCUGAAAUACUGGACAAACUUGUGUGACCAUUUUUGGAUUACAUAGCCUACAGGAUUAGACUUCUUGCAAGAUUUCCAGAACUUCCUGGUUGGCUGAGUGUAAAUAUUUUAAAAAUAACAUCUUACAGAAUUUCAGUGUUUCUGUUUCCUCUAUUGGUCAAAAACAGGAAAUGCAGAAGCAUGUGAAUCUAAGAUUUUAGUAAACUUCAGAAAAAUAGGUUCAGAGAGAGAGCACUUUAAAAAAUAGAGGACCGGAUUAGAAGGCAGUUUCUAUUUUCACCUAAACCAAUCCAUCUGCUUUAACCAUCCUUCAAAAACAACACUGACCAGAGUAUUUUGCAUAUUUGUAAUGUCUGACGGAGAUAAUAAGCAGAGAGCAGGCUGGUUCCAAAAUAGGCUCGUGCUCCUUGUCUAACCUGGUGAGUGAACAUCCUGACAUGCAAUUAUUUGUUUUUUCUCUCCUUACUAGUGCAAAACAUUUGAGUAGCCAGGUUUUAAUUUAUUUCCAUUUACAUUGUUACCUAAGGACAUUUCUUAUCUGAGAAAAGCAUUACUGUUCGAAAGAGCAUUUUCCCCCUUUUAAUAGCUGCCUGUCCAGUGCUAGUUACCUUAUUGCAUAUAUAAAGUUAGAGCUGUUUCUUCUCAUGUGUAUCACUGAUCAGCACUGAGUUUCAUCUGCCAUUUUAUUGCCACUUCCACAGCUCUAAAAAAUGAGCACCUAACCUUUACCUUAUCAUUUAUUCCUCUGAAAAUGUAUUCUGCAAGUCUACCAGUUAACUCUUUCCCCUCACAGCAGCAUCAUACUACAAGCUCAAGGACAGCACAACUAUGGAAGACAUUUACUUGCAAUAUUUUAUCCUGUUUUUCCAAUUAGCCUAUUGGACUUUAAUUUUUUUAAGCUUUAGAAUU
rnacentral:lncRNA from 1 species